GAUGAACGCUGGCUACAGGCUUAACACAUGCAAGUCGAGGGGAAACGACGGGGAAGCUUGCUUCCCCGGGCGUCGACCGGCGCACGGGUGAGUAACGCGUAUCCAACCUGCCUCUGACUGAGGGAUAACCCGUCGAAAGUCGGCCUAAUACCUCAUGGUAUCGUCUGCGGGCAUCCAACGACGAUUAAAGAUUUCAUCGGUCAGGGAUGGGGAUGCGUCUGAUUAGCUUGUUGGCGGGGUAACGGCCCACCAAGGCUACGAUCAGUAGGGGUUCUGAGAGGAAGGUCCCCCACAUUGGAACUGGGACACGGUCCAAACGCCUACGGGAGGCAGCAGUGAGGAAUAUUGGUCAAUGGGCGAGAGCCUGAACCAGCCAAGUAGCGUGCAGGAAGACGGCCCUAUGGGUUGUAAACUGCUUUUAUGCGGGGAAAAAGUGAGGGACGUGUCCCUCAUUGCAGGUACCGCAUGAAUAAGGACCGGCUAAGUCCGUG
rnacentral:rRNA from 1 species